rnacentral:rRNA from 1 species
GAUGAACGCUGGCGGCGUGCCUAAUACAUGCAAGUCGAGCGAACGGACGAGAAGCUUGCUUCUCUGAUGUUAGCGGCGGACGGGUGAGUAACACGUGGAUAACCUACCUAUAAGACUGGGAUAACUUCGGGAAACCGGAGCUAAUACCGGAUAAUAUUUUGAACCGCAUGGUUCAAAAGUAAAAGACGGUCUUGCUGUCACUUAUAGAUGGAUCCGCGCUGCAUUAGCUAGUUGGUAAGGUAACGGCUUACCAAGGCAACGAUGCAUAGCCGACCUGAGAGGGUGAUCGGCCACACUGGAACUGAGACACGGUCCAGACUCCUACGGGAGGCAGCAGUAGGGAAUCUUCCGCAAUGGGCGAAAGCCUGACGGAGCAACGCCGCGUGAGUGAUGAAGGUCUUCGGAUCGUAAAACUCUGUUAUUAUGGAAGAACAUAUGUGUAAGUAACUGUGCACAUCUUGACGGUACCUAAUCAGAAAGCCACGGCUAACUACGUG